GUUAGGAAUUUUGCGCAAUGGACGAAAGUCUGACGCAGCAAUACCGCGUGAAGGAUGAAGACCUUCGGGUUGUAAACUUCUUUUUAAGGGGACGAAGUUCGACGGUACCCUUAGAAUAAGCUCCGGCUAACUACGUGCCAGCAGCCGCGGUAAUACGUAGGGAGCGAGCGUUAUCCGGAUUUAUUGGGCGUAAAGAGUCUGUAGGUGGUUUGUUAAGUUGGAGAUGAAAUACGUAGGCUCAACUUACGGAACGUUUUCAAAACUGACAGACUGGAGGCAGAAAGAGGCAAGCGGAACUUGUGGUGUAGGGGUAAAAUCCGUAGAUAUCACAGGGAACGCCAAUGGCGAAAGCAGCUUGCUGGUUUUGUCCUGACACUGAGAGACGAAAGCGUGGGUAGCGAACGGGAUUAGAUACCCGAGUAGUCC
rnacentral:rRNA from 1 species